rnacentral:rRNA from 1 species
GGGGACGACGUCAAGUCAUCAUGGCCCUUACGACCAGGGCUACACACGUGCUACAAUGGCGUAUACAAAGGGAGGCGACCUCGCGAGAGCAAGCGGACCUCAUAAAGUACGUCUAAGUCCGGAUUGGAGUCUGCAACUCGACUCCAUGAAGUCGGAAUCGCUAGUAAUCGUGAAUCAGAAUGUCACGGUGAAUACGUUCCCGGGCCUUGUACACACCGCCCGUCACACCAUGGGAGUGGGUUGCACCAGAAGUAGAUAGCUUAACCUUCGGGAGGGCGUUUACCACGGUGUGGUCCAUGACUGGGGUGAAGUCGUAACAAGGUAACCGUAGGGGAACCUGCGGUUGGAUCACCUCCUUACGAAGA